CGGGACGUGGCGCAGUUUGGUAGCGCGCAGCGUUCGGGACGCUGAGGUCGUGGGUUCAAAUCCCGCCGUCCCGA
rnacentral:tRNA from 1 species